AUUUUACUCAUUUUAAUAAUGUACAAUCUUAAGAGAUGUUCCCUCUUUUUCCGAGCUCCAAAUUUAAAAAUCUCUUCCAUCCUGCAAACCAAACCCAUAUUCAUUUGAAUCAUUUCCAAUCCGCCUUUCAAUUCCCCGAUCGAGCCGAUCGCUACGUACCUUUCUCACAUCCUUACAGUCAUAUUCCCUCAAAUCCAACAACCCCCGCAAAUCAACGACCUCAAAGCCCGUCCUCCUCAGAGCACCUGGCGAGAGAGAGAGGGAUGGCUCGACGACGAAGAAGCAUGCCCUUUUAUCUCAUUCUUCCGGGCCGUGUAGAUCAAAUGAUGUUUAUAAAUCAGGCACUGUAACUCCAUCCAUUAAUAUGGCUUUCUGUGGUUCGAACUUUCUCGUAGAAGUCUUUUGGCAUCUGCAUGUUGGCUCCAAGGGUGGCUGUGUGGAAACAAGGGAACCACACUCAAAGUGGCGGUGUUAGAAACUGUGGGGCAGGUCCUCGCGUAAAAGAAAGAAAGAAACAGAUCUGUAUAGGUGGUGGGCUCUGGUUCUAUGACGGACAUAUUACAGCUAAAAAACCCACUUGUGCCACUGCCUUAUCCCAGGUUGGGAAGUUCUGCACCGCAUCGUUUAGCAACUGUUGACAUAUUGUAGUCUUGUGAAAAUUGACAGCACAAGCUGUUGGUGACCAAAAGAAGGGGUUGAUCUGAUCUAGUUUGUUCUAAUAAUUAUAUUGGAUUUUGCUUUGCCAUGCAUUGGACUGGAUCGACUUCGGUUGUUGUUCAUGGUCAUCAGUUUUAGCCUUAUCCGGGUUUGAACCAUGUCUCUCAUGGCACGUGGGCGUUUUGGUCGAGUAAUUAUUAGAUACUUUUCAAGUAAAGGUAUGUGAUAUUCUCAUUU